rnacentral:pre_miRNA from 1 species
ACAACAACAUUCGGACCGUCGGUCUACCGAGCAAUAUCACCAGUUCGGUGGAAGAUCUUCCCUUUGUCGUAUAUU